GAAAUGCGAUAAGUAGUGUGAAUUGCAGAAUUCAGUGAAUCAUCGAAUCUUUGAACGCACAUUGCGCCCUUUGGUAUUCCAAAGGGCAUGCCUGUUCGAGCGUCCUUUGUACCCUCAAGCCUUGCUUGGCGUUGUGCGUCUUGUCUCCAGUUCGCUGGAGACUCGCCUUAAAGUAAUUGGCAGCCGGCCUACUGGUUUCGGAGCGCAGCACAAGUCGCGCUCUCUUCCAGAGAAGGUCAGCAUCCACAAAGCCUGUUUUCAACUUUUGACCUCGGAUCAGGUAGGACUACCCGCUGAACUUAA
rnacentral:misc_RNA from 1 species